rnacentral:lncRNA from 1 species
UUCAUAAAAAAGUCAUUUUCUAGUGUUUAUUUAUUAAAGAACUUCCAAUAUUUUCCAUAUAAUGAUAAUUUAUUUUUCAUGAAAAAGCUCAUAUGAACCGUCUCUCUUGGUGAACUUGGUCUAAGACUACCAAAAACAAAGGCAUUAACCAAAUUUAUAUAUAUCAUAAUUCAACAUUUAACCGUCUGCAUACAUUUGAAGUUUACAGUGGAUCAAAUUGCUUUCAGAUUUCAGACAUGAGAUGAACAUCUAUAUAUGUUUUAUUCAUAAAUUUGAGCAGCUUCCGAGAUUCACUACCCAUUCAUCAGUACAUAGAAAUCCUGCAUGCAUGUAAUAAAAAUAAUAAGUUAGAUUAAACAAGCAGUCGAUCUGCACCAAAUUGGGUGGAAAUAAAAAUUGAGAGGUAAUAUAAACUUACGUGUUACAGUCGUAGUUUUUAUCAAUAGGAGGCAUAUUAAAAGAAAUGCCACAUUUCUUGGGGAGUUGAGCUACGAGAGUGGGAUUGACAUUUCCAGCAUGAGUAAAUGCGGUUUUUAAGCAGUUGCAGAUAGCGACUCGGUCUUCUUUGGUUUUAGCAAGUUCAUAUAUGUUAUUUAUACCAGUGCAGCAAGGUACAGAUGGAUCACCUCCACCUUGAAUGUACGAUAGACAAGGAGCCAGCUGCGUUGUAACUGUUGGACAGGAAGGAGGAGCACCCAACGCGCCCUUCUUUGAAAUNNNN